rnacentral:snRNA from 1 species
ACAUGCUUCGGCGUAAAAUUGAAACGAUACAAAGAAGAUUAGCAUGCCCCCACCCCACAAAUUCGUGAAGCGUUCCAUACUUUU